rnacentral:piRNA from 1 species
UGUCUGCAACCAUGGAAAGCCACUAGGAA